rnacentral:lncRNA from 1 species
UUUUCUACCGCCGGCCGGCUAUGAUCCCAUCCACAUUAAUGCAUGGCAGGAGCUUUGGUCAACCGUCAUGCUUUUUCAUCAUCACAAGUCAAAGUAACAGAUAUUAAAAUAUCUAAUGGGUCGAUCCAAUGGACCGACUCGGCCUUAAAGGUUAAAAUGGAUACAAUAUGGUGACCGGGCCCAGUGACUUUCACGGAUUAAUAAUA